GCACUGCUGAAGAGUCCCGAAUUAGGACGAAACAGCUGUCCAGUAU
rfam:Trichobilharzia regenti genome assembly, scaffold: TRE_scaffold0002403